GCGGAUGUUUACACAUGCACGUCGAACGGCAGCGCGGGGGCACCCUGGCGGCGAGUGGCGAACGGGUGAGUAAUAUAUCGGAACGUACCCAAGAGUGGGGGAUAACGUAGCGAAAGUUACGCUAAUACCUGCAUACGAUCUAAGUGAUGAAAGCAGGGGACCUGGCAAGGCCUUGUGCUCCUGGAGCGGCCUGAUAUCUGAUUAGCUAGUUGGUAGGGUAAAGGCCUACCAAGGCAUCGAUCAGUAGCUGGUCUGAGAGGACGACCAGCCACACUGGAACUGAGACACGGUCCAGACUCCUACGGGAGGCAGCAGUGGGGAAUUUUUGGACAAUGGGCGCAAGCCUGAUCCAAGCAAAUGCCGCCGUGGAGUUGAAGAAGGCCUUCGGGUUGUAAAGCUCUUUUGUCAGGGGAAGAAACGGGUGGGGCUAAUAUCCUCAUCUAAUGACGGUACCUGAAGAAUAAGCACCCGGCUAAACUACGUGCCAGCAGCCGGGGUAAUACGUAAGGUGCAAGCGUUAAUCGGAAUUACUUGGGCGUAAAGCGUGCGCAAGGCGGUUU
rnacentral:rRNA from 1 species